rnacentral:rRNA from 2 species
GGGUUGUGAGGUUAAGCGACUAAGCGUACACGGUGGAUGCCCUGGCAGUCAGAGGCGAUGAAGGACGUGCUAAUCUGCGAUAAGCGUCGGUAAGGUGAUAUGAACCGUUAUAACCGGCGAUUUCCGAAUGGGGAAACCCAGUGUGUUUCGACACACUAUCAUUAACUGAAUCCAUAGGUUAAUGAGGC